UCUUACUGCCAUUCACACCAGAAAGCACCAAAUACCGUCAGAUAUUUGAAGUUAAACUGGUGAUGGCUUCUUCAGUACUGCGAUUGGAGACCAGAUGGAAAUAAGUCGUACCCUAAGUC
rnacentral:rRNA from 1 species